UACGUAGGGUGCGAGCGUUGUCCGGAAUUAUUGGGCGUAAAGAGCUCGUAGGCGGUGUGUCACGUCGUUCGUGAAAACCUGCAGCUUAACUGCGGGCUUGCGGACGAUACGGGCAGGCUGGAGUUCGGUAGGGGAGACUGGAAUUCCUGGUGUAGCGGUGAAAUGCGCAGAUAUCAGGAGGAACACCGGUGGCGAAGGCGGGUCUCUGGGCCGAUACUGACGCUGAGGAGCGAAAGCGUGGGGAGCGAACAGG
rnacentral:rRNA from 1 species